GGCUAGGGGAGGACGGCCCUGUGCCGGGUCCGGCACUUCGCCAGGCCUCUGCCCUGCCGGGAGGCUGUGGACACUAUCAUUCUCUCCUCACGUGACAGGGAACUCAGUGAUGUCGCCGUUUGGAGGCUUGGGGGUGCGUUCUGGGCUUUGGAAGUAAAGGAAGCGGAACGCAGUAGGAAUGGGAGCCCCAAGGCGGACAGCCGCCCUGAGGAGCCGCACGAAUCCGCUGCUACCUUCCUGCACACCCACUCACGGCCGACUCCUGGCAGAGGGUUCUGGCGACCCCUGCACUCCCCGCUCUGUUAGUGUGAGCGUCUGGCAUCCUGAGCGCCCCAGCCAGCCUAGCCAUCCUGAUUUCUGUAUCAAAGGAUGUGGCAAGACCCAAGCAUGUGGGGCACCUUGCGUCAGAGGAAGUGGCUUUCUUGUUGCAGCAAAAAUUCCAUCACCCAUAUCAUGAAUGAAUCAGCAUACAGCUGGCCCUGGCGGUAUUCCUUGUGGUGGUGGAUUGCUCCCAUGGUUCCAGCUGGUAAAUGUCCUCCAGAAGCUUUCUUCUUCAUCCUAGCGGCAACUUCAUAAUUCCAUCUUCCCAAAACUUUUUAUCUUUUUGAGCAAAGAACCGUUCCAGGUACCUUUAACAGUCGUCCAGGGAAUUGAAAUUUUUUCCAUUAAGAGAAUUUUGUAAAGACCUAAAUAAGUGGAAAUCCGAAGGUGCGAUGUCUGGUGAUUACGAAGGAUGAAUCAGAACUUCCCAGCCAAGCUGUAACAGUUUUUGCCUGGUCAUCAAAGAAACAUGCGGUGUUGCCAUUAUCCUGAUAGAAGAUUAUGUGUUUUCUGUUGACUAAUUCUGGAUGCUUUUUGUCGAGUACUGCUUUCGGUUGGUCUAAUUGGGAGCAGUACUUGUUGGAAUUAAUCGUUUGGUUUUCUGGAAAGAGGUCAUAAUAGAGGACUCCCUUCCAAUCCCACCAUAUGCACAACAUCACGUUCUUUGGAUGAAGACCGGCCUUUGGUGUGGUUCAUUUCGCUUGCCCCACAAUCUCUUCCAUUCCACAUUAUUGUACAGUAUCCACUUUUCAUCGUCCGUCACAAUUUGUUUUAAAAAAAGAACGUUUUCAUUAUGUUUCAGUAGAAAAUCGCAUGUGGAAAUAUGGUCAAGAAGGUUUUUUUCGCUUAACUUAUGUGGAACCCAAACAUCAAAGCAAUUCACAUAACCAAGCUGGUGCAAAUGAUUUUCAAAGCUUGAUUUGGAUAUUUUGAGAAUGUCGGCUAUCUCCCGCGUGGUAUGACGUUGAUUGUUCUCAAUUAUUGUUUCGAUUUGAUCACUAUCAACUUCAACUGGUCUACCCGACUAUGGAGCAUCGUCCAGCAAGAAAUCUCCAGCACGAAACUUUGCAAACCACUUUUGACACAUUCGAUCAGUCACAGCACCUUCGCCAUACAUUGCACAAAUCUUCUUGUGCAUUUCAGUUGCAUUUUUACCCUUCUUGAAAUAAUAAAGCAUAAUAUCCUGAAAAUGUUGCUUUUUUUCUUCUAUCUUCAAUAUUAAAAUAGCUAUACAGGGCUUCCCUGGUGGCGCAGUGGUUAAGAAUCUGCCUGCCAAUGCAGGGGACAGGGGUUUGAGCCUUGGUCCAGGAAGAUCCCACAUGCUGUGGAGCAACUGUGUGCCACAACUGCUGAGCCUGCGAGCCACAACUACUUAGCCCAUGUGCCACAACUACUAAGCCCAUGUGCCACAACUACUGAAACCCAUGCACCUAGAGCCUGUGCUCCGCAACAAGAGAAGCCACCGCAGUGAGAAGCCCGUGCACUGCAACAAAGGUAGCCCCCGCUCGCCACAACUAGA